rnacentral:rRNA from 1 species
GACGCCGCGUGAGGGAUGACGGCCUUCGGGUUGUAACCUCUUUCAGUAGGGAAGAAGCGAAAGUGACGGUACCUGCAGAAGAAGCGCCGGCUAACUACGUGCCAGCAGCCGCGGUAAUACGUAGGGCGCAAGCGUUAUCCGGAAUUAUUGGGCGUAAAGAGCUCGUAGGCGGUUUGUCGCGUCUAUCGUGAAAGUCCGAGGCUCAACCUCGGAUCUGCGGUGGGUACGGGCAGACUAGAGUGAUGUAGGGGAGACUGGAAUUCCUGGUGUAGCGGUGAAAUGCGCAGAUAUCAGGAGGAACACCGAUGGCGAAGGCAGGUCUCUGGGCAUUAACUGACGCUGAGGAGCGAAAGCAUGGGGAGCGAACAGGAUUA